rnacentral:SRP_RNA from 1 species
GCCAGGCGGUGGAGGCCCACCUGUAGUCUUAGCUACUCAGGAGACUGAGGCAGUGGGAUCCCUUAUGCCCAGGAGUUCUGGGCUGUAGUGUUCUAUGCCCAUCAGGUGUCUGCACUAAAUUCAGCAUCAAUAUGGUGACCUCCCAGGAGCAGGGGACCACCAGGUUACCUAAAGAGGAGUGAACCAAUCUAGGUCAGAAACAGAGCAGGUCAAAACUUCCAUGCUGAUCAGUAGUGAGAUCACACCCGUGAAUGACCAGUGUUAAAGUGCUCUGCAGUCUGGGCAACAUAGUGAGACAACCCCCCAU